UACGAAGGGUGCAAACGUUGCUCGGAAUCAUUGGGCGUAAAGCGCACGUAGGCGGCCUCAUAAGUCGGAUGUGAAAUCCCACGGCUCAACCGUGGAAGUGCAUCCGAAACUGCGAGGCUCGAGUAUGGAAGAGGGUCGCAGAAUUCCCGGUGUAGAGGUGAAAUUCGUAGAUAUCGGGAGGAAUACCAGUGGCGAAGGCGGCGACCUGGGCCAAUACUGACGCUGAGGUGCGAAAGCUAGGGGAGCGAACAGG
rnacentral:rRNA from 1 species